rnacentral:lncRNA from 1 species
AUGUCUGGUAUCUAUUCUUGUGGCUCACCCAGAAUAUACCUCUGUAGCUACACAGCUGAGGAUUUUUGGAAUAGAAUCUAUUCUAUUUUAUGUAAUAGAAUAGAGAAUGUAUUAUCAACUUUUGGCCAAGAUCAACUAAAGAUAGAAGGAAGUUCCUUGAGACAAUGUGAAGACUCAGUGAAAGCAAGCUGUGUGUGGCAUUGGACUGUAGUGAAGAGAUGUCUUGUAAUUUGGUAUGUGCUUGCUUUGUAGAGUUUUCAUCCAUGUAAGUAGCUGUGUGAAGGAGGAGCACUGCAUUAUCCCCCUACAGCAUCAACUGCAACAAGAGCCAGAGAGGAGGGAUGUGCAACAAGCAAUUUCAAAGCUCUCUGAGAUGAAAUAAGGAUCAUAAAACUCACAAUUUGCAAAUAGUCUCUGUCUGCUUAAAACCUUAACACAUUUAUCUUUUGAUGUUUACCACCAAACUGCAGAUUCUGGUAAUAUAAACUUAUUGAUCCUUACUAUCACGGUUUUUUUUCGAAAAUAAUAGCUUGUUCUUUGUCCUUCUAUGUUUCCUCAGAUUCCCUUCCCCUCCGAAACCCUGGCCCCUGCCCACCUGCCUUUUUUCCCCAAAUCUUUUAUGAAUCCUGUGUAUAAUGGGCUAAUUUUAUGCACUAAGUAGGCAUGACAGUCAGCCAAUUAGAAAAACUGGAUUUGAACAUAGG